UACGAGGGGGGCGAGCGUUGUUCGGAAUUAUUGGGCGUAAAGGGUGCGUAGGCGGUUUGGUAAGUCUUAUGUGAAAUCUACAGGCUCAACUUGUAGUCUGCAUGAGAAACUGCCGGGCUUGAGUAUGGGAGAGGUGAGUGGAAUUCCUGGUGUAGCGGUGAAAUGCGUAGAUAUCAGGAGGAACACCUGCGGUGUAGACGGCUUUCUGGACCAUUGCUGACGCUAAGACGCGAAAGCGUGGGGAGCAAACAGG
rnacentral:rRNA from 1 species